CCUGAAGACUAUGGGUAAUCUCUGCUUCCUUCAAAACAGGGAGAGGCCUGGAGCUGAAAGGGGAGGAUGGGGUGGAGCUGAAAGGGGGAGUAUGGGCAAUCGCUGCUUCAUUGAGAACAGAGAGAUGCCUGGAGCUGAAUAGCUGCUCCAUUGAAAGCAGGGAGAUCCCUAGAGCUGAAAGGGGAGGAUGGGCUGGAGCUGAAAGGAUUAGAAAAUGAAAGGGGAUUUCUAUGUUAGAGAGAUGGGGUUUCUAUGUUAGAGAGAGAAAUUGAAAGGGGAAUUUAUCAAUGAGAGAAAUUGAAAGGGGAAUUUAUCAAUGAGAGAAAUUGAAAGGGGGUUUUCUGUUAGAGAGAGAAAAAGAAAUAGAAAUUGAAAGAGGUUUUCUCUGAUAGAGAAAUUGAAAGGGGGUUGUCUGUUAGAGAGAGACAAUGAAAUGGGAUUCUUGGCGUUUUUCUCUAUAAUUGCAGGAGCAUGAAAUUAGGUUUGUUGAUUUUAAGAUAUAUAUAUAUUUUUUUUAGGUUUUGUUUGCAUUUAGGGAUGCCCUAAAUAUUGAAGGUUUAAUCUGAUUAUAUAUAUUUUUUAAUGUAUAUUUCUGUAAUUUGCAGGAGUAAAAAAGUUUAAUGUAUGCAUAUAUUAUUCAUCACAAAAAUCUGGUUUUUGGAUCGAUAUGGUUUUAUUUACUCUGCUUCUAUAUUAUUUCUAUACACAAUAAUUUCCUCUAUAAGUUUACAAGCAAACAAUAGUUCAUUUGCAAAAUAACUACUGAGCAUUGACAUGUCUAAACUAAAAAGGAAAAAAAAACCAUACCUUCAAUCUAUAAAUGAGGUUUUGAAGAAGAAUAAUGUGAUUUUAGCAUAAACCCUAAGACAACAACCCCUAACAAUACAUAAAUCAAUUGGGGAUAAAAAUUUCUAUUUUAGGUUUUUUUUUUUGAAAAUAAUAUGAUUUUUUUAAAAUUACACAUAUCAGGAAAAAAAUUGUUUCUCUUUAAAAAAAACACAAGUAAAAAUAUGCUUUUUUAGGCCCG
rnacentral:lncRNA from 1 species